ACGGGAGGCAGCAGUGGGGAAUAUUGCGCAAUGGAGGCAACUCUGACGCGGCAACGCCGUGUGCAGGAUGACGGUCUCCGGAUUGUAAACUGCUUUCAGUAGGGAAGAAGUAAUUGACGGUACCUACACAAGAAGCUCCGGCUAACUACGUGCCAGCAGCCGCGGUAAUACGUAGGGAGCAAGCGUUAUCCGGAUUCAUUGGGCGUAAAGCGCGCGCAGGCGGAUGUUUAAGCGGGACUUUUAACCCGAGGGCUCAACCCCCGGUCGGGUCCCGAACUGGAUAUCUUGAGUGCGGUAGGGGCAGGCGGAAUUCCAUGUGUAGCGGUGAAAUGCGCAGAUAUAUGGAAGAACACCGAUGGCGAAGGCAGCCUGCUGGGCCGACACUGACGCUCAGGUGCGAAAGCUAGGGGAGCAAACAGGAUUAGAUACCCUGGUA
rnacentral:rRNA from 1 species